AACGGCAUUUGGUGCUUGCACCGAAUGGACGUCGACCGGCGCACGGGUGAGUAACGCGUAUCCAACCUUCCCGUUACUGCGGGAUAACCUGCCGAAAGGCAGACUAAUACCGCAUGUUCUUCGAUGACGGCAUCAGAUUCGAAGCAAAGAUCCGUCGGUAACGGAGGGGGAUGCGUCUGAUUAGCUAGUUGGCGGGGCGACGGCCCACCAAGGCGACGAUCAGUAGGGGUUCUGAGAGGAAGGUCCCCCACAUUGGAACUGAGACACGGUCCAAACUCCUACGGGAGGCAGCAGUGAGGAAUAUUGGUCAAUGGGCGGAAGCCUGAACCAGCCAAGUAGCGUGCAGGAUGACGGCCCUACGGGUUGUAAACUGCUUUUAUGCGGGGAUAAAGUGAGGGACGCGUCCCUUUUUGCAGGUACCGCAUGAAUAAGGACCGGCUAAUUCCGUGCCAGCAGCCGCGGUAAUACGGAGGGUCCGGGCGUUAUCCGGAUUUAUUGGGUUUAAAGGGAGCGUAGGCCGGGGAUUAAGUGUGUUGUGAAAUGUAGGCGCCCAACGUCUGACUUGCAGCGCAUACUGGUUCCCUUGAGUACGCGCAACGCCGGCGGAAUUCGUCGUGUAGCGGUGAAAUGCUUAGAUAUGACGAAGAACCCCGAUUGCGAAGGCAGCCGGCGGGAGCGCAACUGACGCUGAAGCUCGAAGGUGCGGGUAUCGAACAGGAUUAGAUACCCUGGUAGUCCGCACGGUAAACAAUGGAUGCCCGCUGUCGGCGCCUUGCGCCGGCGGCCAAGCGA
rnacentral:rRNA from 1 species